GAACAUGUGUUCAUACAAAGUAUUGAGAUGCAAGGCAGAUUUGAUGUGCAACUCUGGUAUGUAAUUUGUCAUAGCUUCUACUGGUUGCAUAUUGCUGGAGCACUUGAUGUUUCCAUAAUUCCUUGCUUCUGCCUCAGUGACAUUGUCUACUUGCAUGGGGAAAGAAUGCUAAUUUAUUGGGACACAUUCAGAAUAAAUCUAUUUAUAUUGCAUACCAGGCAAAAUACUAUAUUGUCUUAUAUAUGGAUUUGGAGAGAAAUAUAUCGUAGCAUUCAAUUCGGAAUUCAUAUAUUUGUUAUUGCUCAACAAUCAGAUGGGAUUAUGGUGACUAUCUUUUUUCCAGUCCCAUUAUUCGACGGUUAUCUCAAUGAUAUAGGCUACCAUACAGGUUUUCCUUUUCUAUUCAAAUCUGAGGACACUAUUUUUGCCCUCCCUUUGAAACUGGCAAGAAGGCAGUUUUAUUGUUCUAUAUAAUGUUUCUCAUAUUGUUCCAUGUGAUGGUAAAAGGAACUAUCGAAAUGGUGACUUGAGGGAUAAGCUUGACAGAAGGCUAUCUCCUGAGCGAAGAUAUUCUCCAAGAAGAGACGCGAGAGACCAACAGACAUUGCGGGGAUAUAGCCCUUUGAGGUCCAUUGACAAAAAGAGGUAAUU